GCACUGCUGAAGAGUCCCACACUAGGACGAAACGGCAGUCUAGUGC
rnacentral:hammerhead_ribozyme from 1 species